CGUUGAGAUACAGGUUCCCGUAUGACCACCGAAGUUAAGCAACGUUGAAUCUAGUUAGUACCUUGAUGGGUAACCGUUUGGUAAUGCCUAGUGCAGUAA